ACUUUACAAUGCGAGAAAUCGUGAUAAGGGAACCCCGAGUGCCCGUAAAUUCGGGCUGUCCAUCAGUGUAAAUAACUGGUGAAGAAAGGGCCGGGCAAGACCGGUGCCAGCCGCCGCGGUAAUACCGGCGGCUCGAGUGGUGGCCACUAUUACUGGGCUUAAAGCGUCCGUAGCUGGAUUGUUAAGUCUCUUGGGAAAUCCACCGGCUCAACCGAUGGGCGGUCAGGAGAAACUGGCAAUCUAGGGACCGGGAGAGGUGAGAGGUACGCCAGGGGUAGGAGUGAAAUCCUGUAAUCCGUGGGGGACCACCUGUGGCGAAGGCGUCUCACUAGAACGGCUCCGACAGUGAGGGACGAAAGCUGGGGGAGCAAACCGG
rnacentral:rRNA from 1 species